rnacentral:rRNA from 1 species
CCUACGGAUGGCUGCAGUGGGGAAUAUUGGACAAUGGGGGCAACCCUGAUCCAGCCAUGCCGCGUGUGUGAAGAAGGCCCUCGGGUUGUAAAGCACUUUCAGUGAGGAAGAACGCCUGGUGGUUAAUACCCAUCAGGAAAGACAUCACUCACAGAAGAAGCACCGGCUAACUCCGUGCCAGCAGCCGCGGUAAUACGGAGGGUGCGAGCGUUAAUCGGAAUUACUGGGCGUAAAGCGCGCGUAGGUGGCUUGAUAAGCCGGUUGUGAAAGCCCCGGGCUCAACCUGGGAACGGCAUCCGGAACUGUCAAGCUAGAGUGCAGGAGAGGAAGGUAGAAUUCCCGGUGUAGCGGUGAAAUGCGUAGAGAUCGGGAGGAAUACCAGUGGCGAAGGCGGCCUUCUGGACUGACACUGACACUGAGGUGCGAAAGCGUGGGUAGCAAACAGGAUUAGAUACCCGAGUAGUC